CGAGCGCAACCCUUGUCAUUAGUUGCUACAUUCAGUUGGGCGACUCUAAUGAGACUGCCGGUGACAAACCGGAGGAAGGUGGGGAUGACGUCAAGUCCUCAUGGCCCUUAUAGGUGGGGCUACACACGUCAUACAAUGGAUGGUACAAAGGGUCGCCAACCCGCGAGGGGGGAGCCAAUCCCAUAAAGCCAUUCGUAGUCCGGAUCGCAGUCUGCAACUCGACUGCGUGAAGUCGGAAUCGCUAGUAAUCGUGGAUCAGAAUGUCACGGUGAAUACGUUCCCGGGUCUU
rnacentral:rRNA from 1 species